rnacentral:rRNA from 1 species
CAGUAGCCGCGGUAAUACGUAUGUCACAAGCGUUAUCCGGAUUUAUUGGGCGUAAAGCGCGUCUAGGUGGUUAUGUAAGUCUGAUGUGAAAAUGCAGGGCUCAACUCUGUAUUGCGUUGGAAACUGUGUAACUAGAGUACUGGAGAGGUAAGCGGAACUACAAGUGUAGAGGUGAAAUUCGUGGAUAUUUGUAGGAAUGCCGAUGGGGAAGCCAGCUUACUGGACAGAUACUGACGCUAAAGCGCGAAAGCGUGGGUAGCAAACAGGAUUAGAUACCCGUGUAGUCCCUGUCUCUUUACAC